rnacentral:rRNA from 1 species
GACGAACGCUGGCGGCGCGCUUAACACAUGCAAGUCGAGCGAGAACCGAGGCUUCGGCCUCGGGGACAGCGGCGAACGGGUGAGUAACACGUGGACAACCUGCCCUCGGCACCGGGAUAGCCCGGGGAAACCCGGAUUAAUACCGGAUGGCCCUUCCGGCUUCAGAGCCGGUCGGAAAAGGUAGCUUCGGCCUCCGGCCGAGGAGGGGUCCGCGGCGGAUUAGCUUGUUGGUGGGGUAACGGCCUACCAAGGCUCCGAUCCGUAGCUGGUCUGAGAGGACGAUCAGCCACACUGGGACUGAGACACGGCCCAGACUCCUACGGGAGGCAGCAGUGGGGAAUCUUGCGCAAUGGGCGAAAGCCUGACGCAGCGACGCCGCGUGAGGGAAGAAGGCCUUCGGGUUGUAAACCUCUUUCAGCAGGGACGAAGCUACUCGGGUGAACAGCCCAGAGGGUGACGGUACCUGUAGAAGAAGCCCCGGCUAACUACGUGCCAGCAGCCGCCGUAACAC